UUUUUUAUUGGAAAAUUAUUCAAAAAUUAUUCACAGUUCACAGCCAGACUUUUGCCGCUUUGGCUGAUUGGCUAGCGGAGAUGCCAUAUGAUGCCAUAUGCAUAUGCGGACGUUUUUAAUUGCAAAACUGAAAAUGGCAAUGCUGCACCUCGCGCGUUACUUUCAAAAUGGCUGCUGGCAUUGGUCGACACGACGAGAAUCGACAACAACUGAUAGAUCCCCACAGUAGUGAUCGUCCUGGUUUGUAAUGUGCCAGUUCUCGUGAAAUCUUGAGCUGAACGCCAAAUAUCAGGCUAGAUGCCUAGAUCUUUCUAAGGUAAGGCAAUUUGAUUUUUCGAAGAAAUUGUGCUUAUCGCGUGCUGUGGUUUGUUGGGUAAUUCAGCAUGCUAAAUGAUUCUUGACUCUAGAUUUUCGGGGUAUUUGGGAAAUGAGAACUACAGAAGCAGAUGUUUGAUAUAGGCCUAUUCACUUCAGCCUGCAUUUACUUAUUCAAAUGUCAAUUUUGGGGUAGUCAAUAGGUGUGUAAAAUUGUGUCCACCAGGUGGCGGAGUGUUUGUUCGUGAGUGAGUGACGGUGAGCGGUGACGAUUCCGCCAUUUGCUUUUUGAGACAGACGGAAAUGUAAAUGUGUUGCUGACGGUGUUUUUCGCUUUUACUUUGAAAAACCAUGAGGUAUUUCCACGCCAUUCGACCAAGCUGAAUUGAAAGUGAACAAUUCAAAAGCAAGUUACAUGUCGAAGAUCUUCUACCUUACUCCACGUUAUCGCUGCCAUGUCACGAAGAUGCGCUUUUCAGAGGGUCUCUACUAAAUUGCAAGACAAAAUGUGAUGAAAACACUCAGGAAAUCUGAUGUGGUUUUGCAGCCCUUUUCCAGUUGAGAGCUGCACUUGAAUGGAGCUUGUGCAGACUUGCAGUUGAACAUCAUACUUAAAUGUGUCAUUUGCCUAUGUUGGUGUCCAUGCAGUGUUGAACAGUUGGGUAAAAUAGUCAAUGUUGCCUGAUGGCUGUCGGGCUUAUUUUAUCGGCUUCGUUUUGUCGAAAUGUCGUCGCUUGCUACCUGUUCCGGCGUAUAGUUCAAUCGUUUGCCGCCUUUCCAUAGACUUGAUCCAUUGGUGAAACUGAGAUAAUUCAAGACUCGUCAAUAAAUUAUGUAGAUAGAAAUAAAUUACAAGUGCAUAUCUGGGCUCCCUUCUUCAGUGGCCCCGUUUCCCUAAAUAACCACUAACUAACGCCCGCCGGUGGUCACUCACUCGCUGCGACAACCAGGAGGAAGGGAGAUGUUUGGUCGAACGGGGACUUGCAAGGCGUAUGAUUCGAUGAAAUCUGUUGGAGGGUCAUGAGUCUAAGCCGGAAAUCUACUAUGACACACUGCUCUCAUAAUAACUGCUCCUCAGCUCUCUUCGCUCUUUUUCCGGUUUCUCUUAACCAUGGCCGGGUAAUCUCCCUGGUUGAGUCAGUCGGGCAGUGUCUCCCCUUGCUUGACUGGCAGCAGUUUGAACCGGACAGUCUGUUUAAUAAAUAAACUAUUUUUUUAUACGUCAAA
rnacentral:lncRNA from 1 species